ensembl:misc_RNA Metazoa_SRP Metazoan signal recognition particle RNA
GCUGGACAUGGUGGCACAUGCCUGUAGUCCCAACUACUUGGGAGACUGAGGCAGGAGGAUUGCUUGAAUCCAGUUCUGGGCUGCAGUGUGUUAUGCCGAUCAGGUGUCUACACAGUGAUUAGCAUCAUUAUGGUGACCUCCCAGGGAGCAAAAGACCCACAUGUUUGCCUAUGAAGGGUGAACAGGCCCAGGUCAGAAACGGAGCAGGUCAAAACUCUCAUGCUGAUCAGUAGUGGGAUCACACCUGUAAACAGCACUGCACUCCAGCCUGGGCAACAAAGCGAGACCCUGUUUCUU